GCUGUGAUUAUUGUAAACCCAACUUAAUUCACAAGAAACCUCCACUUUAUGUCACAGAAUUCUGUACAAAAAAAUAGAAUGAAUCUGUUUCAGUGGUUUGUCAGUACCUAUCCUUCAGGAUGAACAUAAUUUUUUUGUGACUGGAAAACUCUUCCAAACUUGAGUGAGCAGAGCUUUCUGGAGCAAUGCAUAGGAAAAGAGCUUUGAGAGGAGGUGGCAAAAUAACAAGAAUUUGCUCAGAAUAAGCAACGUAACUUAAGUCAGAUUUAAGAUUGUGUAGCAUCAUCUUUCAACUCAUAUUGGUUUUAUUAACAGUUGAGGGGAAAUGCAGGUACGUUCUGUUAAGCAGCCUAACAGUUUAUGUACUCUUGAAUUCUCUGCUCAGAUAUGCUGGGAAAAAUUACAAGAAGGAAAAAUAAUAAACAAUAACUGAGAGAUGAAAGAUUCUUCUGUGUCUAAUAGCUGAAGCAAAACAAGAAUUUGUCAGUGACAUAAAAUUAAAUGAAAAAUUGAAUGAUUGUUCAAAAUUGACUUAUUCUGGUUUAUUUACUGUAAUACAAUUAGCACUUUCAAAUAUUUGAAUCACUGUGUAGAAAAAAAAAUCACUGUGAAACGGAGCUAGUUUAUUUUAUAUAUAAUAUGUUAAAAUAAAUUAUCCUGUUUGUGAGUUGGUUUUAAGUAGUCUGAUUACUGAGAAGGUAUAAACAGAAGUAUAUAUACAAGAACUACACUUGGAUGUGAAUUAGGGAAGGUGAAGCUGUACAGUUGUACUGUUUAAGCUUCUUAUAAGAGUGUUGUCUGGCAAGAGGAGAAGUAAGAUUUUUUGUUCACUUGCCCCUUUCUUCUUGGUAUGAUUUUUCUACAGUAGCCCUAUGUUGCCUGAGGACAUUCUCAACCCAACAGUACUGCAUUACUGGUGGAAAGAACAAAACAAAACAAAACAAAAAACAAAAAUGUCAGAAGGUUAGAAUGGUAUCUGUGUGGUUUGUUGUCACUUCUACAGUAACAGACUGUAGUAGUCAGUUACACAUUCCAGGACACUUCCUCAAAUGAUGUAAAUCAGUGAAGCUUCAGCAGAGACAAGUGAUCCAUACUCAUUUACAACCUCUAAAGAUUUAGAUGUCAAUCUGCAAGGUGAAUAUCAUGUUUCUCUUUUCCUAAAGCAAAGGCAGGCAAACAUUUCCCAGUGUAGAUGAUAAUUUUUCAUAUCUCAAAACUAGAGGAGUUAAAAUGUGAUACAUUUCCUAUGAUGGAAACAGAUACCGAAGAAGAGUCCAAAUCUCUCCACAUGUUGAUCCAUCUCACUCAUCAUGCUCUCUAUAUCACAUCCAAAAUGAAGAACUCUUCUGCAGAGAUCACUUCAGGAAGUCUUCUAGAAAGAAAAUAAAAUCAAGUACACACAAGAAGAGACUACCAGAAAGAUAUGUGCUCUGUUCUCAGUCUAGUGAAAAGUGAUAAAAAAAAGAUGUAGAUCUGCAGUUUCCGACAGGACAGCUUAUUCACACCAAGCUGAAGGAAAGUUAGGUUUGUACUGUGGGUGCUUUGGAUGGACAUGGACUCUGGGAGGAUUCCAUUACAAACAUACAAUCAAACAAGCAAAAGUAUAGCUAUUUCCACUGGAAUUCUUGAGAUGCAGUUCUGGGGAGAAGGUUAUAUUACAUGAAUGCGGCUUUUACACAGACACUGUUUUAGAAGUGUGGUUCAAAGACCUGCCAUGUGGAAACAAAUACAAGCAGAGCUCAACUACUGAUGGGUGCUAAAGGAUGAAAUAAGGUGAGCGGAGCCUGAAAUUCAGGACACAUUCCAGUGUGUUACUUGGAUUCAUGUCACUGUUUGUUUUUUUUUAAUUUCUUGCUUCAUUCUGAUCCUCAAUGAAGCAUUGGUAGGUCUUGUCAGACUCUGGAAUAUUAAGCAAGAAACCCAGUGUUGGUAGAAGGACUUUUUUUGUAGAGAAGUUCAGUUGAAAAGCAACAGACAAACAAAAGUUGAAAUCGAGAAAUUAGGAAUAACUCAUGUAGCAAAAAAAAAGGAGUUAAGACUUUAAAAACACUACGAUUUUCACAUUGGUUUCAUAAUGAAGAUAGCGAUUUUGAUAAUUUGUCUGCCUUAUCCCUGUAAAUGUUUAUAUCAACUGAGAAAAAAAAUAGAUACCUCAGAGAUGUGGUGUUCAGACAAGUUUCAUGAAAAUCAGUCACUGAAUACAUGGGAAGACUCAAAAGAAGGCUCUCCUGACAGAAGGGCUGAAGCCUGAGUUCACCAUUGUUUCUUUUUUAGCUAGAGGGCAACCAGAGUGCACAUACAGGCUGGGUAGCCAGCAUGCUCAGUUUGACACUAGCCACAGCAUGUUGCAGAUGCCUUUACCAGGACUUAACAUAGGGCAAAAGGAUCUGGGAUUUCAGUAUAAGAUGUGACAAAAGAGAAGAGAAUUAGAGACAUUUCAGGGAGAUAUAAUAUGCAGUGCGGGCAAAAGUUUGUGGAAAUGGGUUUUUACUACCUGUGUUGUUUGAGGAAUGACUUACCGAACGUGUAUGAAAAAGCUGUAGAGGGGGGUUUAUGGCAUCAGCAGUGAUAAUAUGAUAAACUAUGAUAAUCAUUAAAAAACCUACACUAUUUUUCCAGUGUGAUGGAGGGAAAAGUCUUUUUUUCUUCCUCUCUGAAAAAAUCACAUUUUUUUUUCCAAUAAUAUCAUACAAUAGAUUAAAAAAGAAUGUUUCAAUUACAUAAAACUAGUAUACACUUUUAAAAGCAUGUUAUACAUAUGCUGUUAAUUUCACUUUAAAGCUCCAGGGGAAGGUAGAAGUUUAUUUGAAUCUGAGGGUGAUGCCAUCUGUGAUUUGAAUUUUAAUAACACUCCCUUGAAGCUCUCAGGAAUUGUUUUGCGUUAGGAAUAAGAAAUUCAGAAAUAAGGGGGUGGCUGACAAAUAUUUUGUUCACAAACAAUGCUCUCUAAUAGUGGCAGUAGUAAUCAUGUUAAGUGUUUCAAAUCCGGAGACUGAAGAGAAAUGUCUAACAUGAGAGGGCUUUUCAGUCCGUGAACCAGGCAGAGGAUGAAGCAACCAAGACUAGAGUCAGUAUAUCAAAGGGUGCAAAACCUGUCUGGAGCUUGUUUAAUAAACUGGCAUCAAAUUUUCAAAAACAGCCUAAAUGAUAGGAAUGGAGAUAAGAGAGGACAUGCGGCUUGUAGCUCCUCUCCUCUAAUCCGAAUGCUGCACCAGCUGUGUGAAUAUGAAUAGUACUACAGUCAUGUAUUCAUGCGUAAUAUUUUCACUUUUGCAAAAUUUGUGCUCAGCAAUGAAGCUUUUAAAAAUACAAAUUGAAACUGAAGACUUCAUUUGGAUAACAGUGUGGAUUUUUACUUUAUUUGUUUGUUUUCUUAUGUUUGGUUUGAAGGAGAACUGAAAGAAUGAAAAAGAAACAAUUUUACAUCAAGAUGGAAUUUGUAUUUCAGUAGUUGUUAAGUAUAGCUGAGUUCUGUUCAAGGAAAUUAAAAUAUUUUUCUUUAAUUCUUCAAAUUUCAGAGUGGUCUUUUCCUUGGUAUGGCAACAUAAAAUGGAAAGUGUUGUCAUAAAGCGGAAAAAAAACACUUUCUAUUAAAAUGUGUUAAAGUAUCUCAAACAUUUCAGCUUCUCUCCUCUUUUCUUGAUCAGAGCUACUCAAUAUUUUGAUUGUAAAUCAUGAACAUUUCAAUUUCUGUCAAACUGCACUUUUCAACAGUUAAUCCACUUAGAGAUAUUAGGAUGCUUUUUAUACCAUAGCACGUAGUUGCCCUGUCAGAUUAACCCAUUACUCUGAGAAUAUGAAGAUGUUUCUAAAACUUUGUCUAUCCAUAACCAGAUGUCUUAUGAUUUAUGUCUCUUCAUAAAACUAUUUGCAGUUGGAGAUAAAUCGAAUAUUAAUGUUCCAUAUGUGGCUAAUGCAAAAAUAAAUAAUGUAGUUGGAACAGAAACUUAUGCAGAUUCUACAACACGUAAUAAGUGAAAAAUGCACUUUUGCAUGAAAAAAAAGCAAGUAAAUACAUUAUGAGAAACUUAUGUAAUACUGAAGAACUGUAACCAAGGGGAUAAAAUGAUAUUUGGAAGCACACAAUUAAUUGCAAGGCUGGAUAUUUAAUGUUAUCACUAAUUACAUCAGAAAGAAAUGAUCCUUUACUAAUAGAUGAAAGUUGAUAUAACAAGAGAAUGCUAGAGUCUGAGCACAGUGUACCAUGUGUUGGAGCCACUGGUUACACUAAAAAACAGCUAGAAAGUGCUAUCUCGACAUGUGCUUAAGUGUAAUAAAAUAUUUUUUUUUAAUUAAAAAGAAAAAAAAAAAGAUCCUGCAUGUAAAGUUAUAGAAAAAUAUUUUCAGAGAUGAUCUUUAUAUACUAAAACUCUUAGAAGAAUUACUUUUAGAAGAAUGGAGGGCAGACAUAAAUUUCUCCAGUAAAAACAAAGCCAGGAACUGCAUCAGUUACCUGAGUGGUUAUUAUUAUUACCGACAGAUUGGGCCAUCAGUCUUUCAGUUUAAAACAAAUAAAUACUCAAACUGAGAAAUUCUACACAUAUCUUCUAAAUCACUAGGAAUGGUAAUAAUAAUAAUAAUAAUAAUAAUAAUAAUAAUAAUAAUAAUAAUAAUAAUUGCCUUCUUUUCAUGAACUGGUAUUCAUAUAUGCUUGACUACUACUGUUCAGAUCUUGAAACAUUAUUUUCAAUCGAUGCAGUGGUACAUUGUUAGAAGUAAAAAGGGAAAACGUACUUUAACUAUCAUAUACACUUUCUGUAACACAAUAAAGGCAUAAAUAGACUGUUCAUAACGGUGAACUUUGAAAUACUUUGAACCUAAAACAAUUUUUCUUUUUGCCUCUGUGUAGGGAUAUGCAGAUGAUUUAGUGAAGAAAGUUGUUUUUUAUACAGAAUGUUUUUUUGGAUGUUGUUCUUGCUUGAGAGUUUCAAGAAUUGUUUCAAUAUGUGGGCUUUAAAUAUUGGAUUCGAUAUUCUUUUAAUUGGAUUUUUCAGAUGAUUUAGGCAUUCCAGUAUGUAUUUAUCUUCUAAAAAACACUCAACAGAAUUAAUCUACGAAGAAUACACAUACUAAAUAAUGAACAAAAUGAAAAAGCAUUAGUGUCAUUCUCCCUCUGCUGCUU
rnacentral:lncRNA from 1 species